CAAUGUACCUGCAGUGCAA
rnacentral:miRNA from 1 species